UUUCUCCCUUCCCCUCCUCUUGUUUCCUUAACUAUUCUCCUUUUUUUGUUUCUUCCCUACACUGCCUCCAUUCAUCCCUUGUGUGCUUUCCCAUUCCUUACUUUUACUCUGGCAUUCUGUAUUUUUUCCUCGGGCGGAUAUUAAGGCAGGUCCUGUUGGAGGGAAAGAAUCUCAGGCUGCACAUGAGCACCGGAGAGUUAUUGCUUCAGCUGGAAAGGCAACUUAACAGAAGACUCACAAACACAUAAAGGACAAACGUUGGAAGAAGGAGAGGAAGAAGGAAUACCUCUGAGGCAGGAAGGGAGGAGAGGGAGGGAGACGCAGAAAGAGUUUGGAGUUGCGGUGCAGGACACAGACCAUGCCGGGCUCUGUGGUGCUGCUGCUGUCCCUGUUGGCCCUGUCCACAGGAAGUGAUGCCAGACGAAUCAGGAAAAGAGGACUCAACCAUAAGGACUACGAGUACCCCAACCACCCCCAGUCCACACAGCACCAAAAGAAUGACCGGUGUCCGCCGCCACCACAGAUGCUGCCAGAAAGGGCCUGUGAGGUGCCGGGCUGCCGCUCAGACUCUGAGUGCGAGCGCCAUAAACGCUGCUGCUACAAUGGCUGCAUCUACGCCUGCCUGGAGUCUGUUCAGCCGCCACCAGUGCUGGACUGGCUGGUGCAGCCCAAGCCUCGGUGGUUGGGGGGUAACGGCUGGCUGUUAGACGGCCCUGAGGAGGUGCUGCAGGCUGAGGCCUGCAGCACAACUGAAGAUGGAGAUGAGCCUCUUCACUGUCCUACAGGCUACGAGUGCCACAUCAUCAACCCAGGAAACCCUGCGGCUGGCAUCCCUAACCGGGGACAGUGCAUCAAGCAACGCGGUAACUCCGGUAUGGCUAGAGGACUUCUGAUGGACGUGGUCUGAGGCACAAAUACUUUAAGGACUACAAGGACUACUUAGGUACCAGUUCUAACAAUGCAGUAGGCUAUGAAAAGCAUCACCACAAGCACCUGGGAUGAAAUCAACCUGACCUCAGCCUCAGCUACGACCAUAACACAACCUCAGACAUCAGCUCCAGUCCUGUUCAAUCUGCUCUCAUCACACCUGAACCAGGAUCAGAUGUGACCUUUUUACCAGACCUACAGCUGCUACCUCCUCUUUGCAAAGGCCCUUGCGUCCUUGUCCUCAGUCACGACGUCCUUUGGGAGACAAGUCUGACGUACAGAACACAGCCAAAGAAAUAAGUGCUUUUUUUGUCUCUCUGGUAUCUAUGAAAGGAAGAAGCAGAGGGUGUUGAUGGUGAAUCAGAGGAGAGGACCAAUGCUGUGUAAAAAGUCUCAAAAGGAAAAAAGGAACCCAUGCCAUUUUUUUUGUAAUUUCCUUCUCCCUCCCUACAACUUGUGUCCUCGCACACAAAGACACUCUCGAACCUUAAGGCUUGGUCAGCAGAGAAAAUUAAGACUAUAUGGCCCUAUUACUUCUUCUGCCUCCCUUGUUCUUAGGAGGACGGUGCUCACAUUUCUUGAUCUGAAACCUGGAACAUUUUGUAGACAAAUAAUAAAAAUUCCAGCUGCAGGUGUUGCAUGUUGAAAUCAAAUCCAAAUGUGGUUUAAUAUUCUGGCAAAUAACUAUAAUUAAAAGAAAGAAUGCCAUGUGAGUGUGUGGAUUGUGCCCAUUUUAAAGGAGUUGGAACAGCUGUAGAUUAGUUGCAGCAAACGGAUGCUAACGAAGACUAUGAAAAGACUAUUUUCUAUGAAAAGUAAAAUGAGAACCAAUCGUUUACUUCUGAGGUUCAUUUGGAAGAGAUGUAGAUUCAAAGGGAUACCAAUUGCGAAGUAGGAAGCCAUUAAGAUCUUCAAACAAGCCUACAGACAGCAAGUGUUGAAAAGAUUGAUUUGGGGUGGAUUAUUCCUUUAAACCUAAUCUGUGUAAAUAUUAUAUCUGUAACUAAUGCAGUGACACAGACCAUACAACAAAUAUCUUCCAUUGCAGUAUGAUUAUUCAAACAUUUCAUAAUUUUGAAAAAUCAUACUGCAUUACUUUCUGUUAACACUAUCACAAUCCCUAUUGCAGUACAGGUGAAAAAAAACUAAAAGGGCUUUUGCACAGAGCAGAUAUUUAAAACUGGUGAAAGGAUCUUCUGUGUUAUUCUCAAACUUACCGACUUGGUUCAGUCGACUGUUCAACCUAAGUUAUCUCUGUUAUCAAUUCAAAUGGUGCUCAGUUUCAUUGCUGCCUAAAAUAACAGAAGAAUAAGCUGGUCACACAAUAAGCUGAAGGUGUUAAACAAAAGCUGUAACCAUUCUCUCUAUAUGCAGAACUAAAGUGAUGUCUGAAUGUUGCUACCUGACUGGUGUUGUAAUGUUGCCUUGUUUCUUCUAAAUAAACCACAUUGUUGGACUUCA